AUUGAACGCUGGCGGCAUGCCUUACACAUGCAAGUCGAACGGUAACAGGUCUUCGGAUGCUGACGAGUGGCGAACGGGUGAGUAAUACAUCGGAACGUGCCUAGUAGUGGGGGAUAACUACUCGAAAGAGUGGCUAAUACCGCAUGAGAUCUACGGAUGAAAGCAGGGGAUCGCAAGACCUUGUGCUACUAGAGCGGGCGAGGGCAGAGUGGGUAGUUGGUGGGAUAAAAGCUUACCAAGCCGACGAUCUGUAGCUGGUCUGAGAGGACGAUCAGCCACACUGGGACUGAGACACGGCCCAGACUCCUACGGGAGGCAGCAGUGGGGAAUUUUGGACAAUGGGCGAAAGCCUGAUCCAGCAAUGCCGCGUGCAGGAUGAAGGCCUUCGGGUAGUAAACUGCUUUUGUACGGAACGAAAAGCCCCGGGUUAAUACCCUGGGGUCAUGACGGUACCGUAAGAAUAAGCACCGGCUAACUACGUGCCAGCCGCCGCCGUAA
rnacentral:rRNA from 1 species